CAGCCCGGUAAUUCCAGCUCCAAUAGCGUAUAUUAAAGUUGUUGCAGUUAAAAAGCUCAUAGUUGAAUUUCGAGAUCAAAUUGUUGGUCGUGCCUUGGUACGCACUGGCAUUAUUGGUUUCUCCCUUCUGAAGAACCAUGAUGUCAUUAAUUUGGUGUCUUGGGGAAUCAGGACUGUUACUUUGAAAAAAUUAGAGUGUUUAAAGCAGGCUCGCGCUUGAAUACAUUAGCAUGGAAUAAUGAAAUAGGACGUUUGAUUCUAUUUUGUUGGUUUCUAGGAUCGACGUAAUGAUUAAUAGGGAUAGUUGGGGGCAUUAGUAUUCAAUUGUCAGAGGUGAAAUUCUUGGAUUUAUUGAAGACUAACUACUGCGAAAGCAUUUGCCAAGGAUGUUUUCAUUAAUCAAGAACGAAAGUUAGGGGAUCGAAGACGAUCAGAUACCGUCGUAGUCUUAACCAUAAACUAUGCCGACUAGGGAUCGGAUGAUGUUAAUUUUUUAAUGACUCAUUCGGCGCCUUACG
rnacentral:misc_RNA from 1 species